UACAACAGCCAUAUCAGUCUGCAACUCACAACUGGCAGUCCAGGAGGUGUGAGCCUGGUCAGUACCUGGAUGGGAGUCCUCCUGGGAAAAACUAAGGCUGCUGCUGGAA
rnacentral:rRNA from 1 species